GAGGACAGCACUGCCUCUUGUCCUGCCCCAAUGAUGGCAUGCAGCUGGAUGUGGCCUCCAGAGGCCCAAGGAAAGCCUUGCCAAGUGAGAGGGCAAAUGGUACUGAGCUGGGGGCAGCAAGAUGAUGUGGGACAGGGUACCGGUGCUGUGGGGGAUGAAAACCCUUUCACCAGCCUGGGUCCCUAAUGGGAAUCGCUGUUCUCACCUUUCUGACAGAAGCUCUAAAUUAAGGCUGGUGGUUUUAAGAGCCAUUAUUUUUAUUUUUUAAUGAUACACGUGCAUAAAAUUGGAGUGCAUUCUAUUAUUUCAGAAAGAUGACAGCUAACACUGUAAGGAUCACAGGUUUCUUGUAGGAACUGUGGCAUGCCUUAAUGCUGAUUAUUAGCACUAGAAAAGGGAACGCUCCCCUGACUGUCAGUAUACUAUUAUCAAGUGGGAAGUCUUCUGACACUUUGUAAAAUGCCUGUCACAGAUCAUGAGCCUGCAAUACUUAAAUGAACCCUCAAGUUUUCCCCAAGCAUUCUGAGGUGAUGUAAGUCAACCUAAUAAUCUAAAUAGACACUGCAGGAGUGUGUGAGGAGUAAGAAAAUUUCAGUAACGGGACUAACAGUUUAUUUUGGUGUUUGUGUGUGCUGUGGAAGGGGUGAAGGAAGGCAAAGUGCAGGAGUUUAGCAGAUAAAACUCUCAGGAUAUUUCUCUGAUCACCCAGCAAGAUAGCUGUACACAUUACAGGACUGUGUGGGUUGGUGGUGCGAUAUAAAACCUCUGGACUCUCAGGUUCUCGUGCUGUGUGAUGCGACAGAGACCAGAACACUUGCUGUCUGGUGGCUGAUGGUAGAAAAUGAAUGUAUUUACCCGGUGGACGAGCCUUCGCAUCGUUCACCUCACACAAGGUGGUACCAAAGCCUGAGGCCAAGGGAGAUGAAUUGCCCUCUCAUACACCAUAGCAAUUUGAUUUCCCCUGCUCAAAAUUUAAAUGCUUUAAAACAAGCGUGAUUAAAAUCGGGUUGGGUGGUUUUCCUUGCUUGGGUUAAAGUUGUCACGUGGAUCACUGGAGAGCUUUCUUCUGUGGGGAUCUAACUCUUAGGGCAUACCAGGUGGGUUUUAGGUGAGCCCUGGAGUACCCCAGAACAUACCGGGAUUUGUGCCCUCAGUCAGUUUAUUUCUGUCAGUGAAGCAUGACAGUUACCCAUGUUCUACCUCAUGACAUAUCUGUGUGCCAGGGCCUGCCUGCCGAAGGGGACCCAAGGGUCUGCAUUAGGGCUGGAGAUGCCAUGUGCUAUGGUGAUGCUCCCCUGUGGCAAGGUGCCGGUAGCCUGCGGCUGGCUCCCUGCUGCUCAGACAGCUCCCAGUGACCCGUUUGCUCAGUUUCUGUCCCUUUAGGUGUCUGAGGCUGAAGCUGCCAUUUGGGAACUGCCUGGCACCAGCUGGGGACUUGCACCCAAAAGGAGUGACUCCACACAGUCCCAGCCUCACCAGGCUCCCUGGCCAGCCAGUCUUGCCUUCUUGCUGCCAGCCCCACACUGGCCCCGCAGCAGGAAUGCCUGAGACUCUCUCCUAGGAAGCCACGCUGGGUUGUUGCUGGGUUUUAUAUGUUUACAGUUUUUUAAUCUUUGUAAUUCUUUUAAAAAUCUGUCUGUAAUGAAUAUAAAGUUUACUGACUGGGAAAGUGACUGGUUUAAUGUUGUAAAACUCCUUUUUGACCCACAACAGGGCGAAACGACACGGUCCAUCGUGAGCUUUUCAAUAGUGCGUUUUAUGCCUUAUUAUGAUAGCAACAGCGUUCUGUACAGAUUGACAAAUAAAAGUCUGUAAAGCUGAGUGUUGCUGCCAUGCUCCUCUUUGCUCCUUGCUGAACAUCCAGUUGCAGUGGUUGGCUCUUCAUCCCCAUGCCGCUGGGUGCCUUGUCCUCAGCUGCUGGGAGCUGUGGCAUGGCAGGGCCCGAUCCGGCUGCUCCAGCACACUGUGCUUGUCCCCAGCUCACCCAGUGGCUGUGUCCCUGACAGCUGGUCCAUCCAGUCAGAAAGCACCAGACAACGCAGGCUUCCAAACUGCUGCGCCAGUGUCCCACCUAACUCCGGGUAACAAAAAAGCAAAGAGGAAAGAAGGAAGGUGGGCCCAGCCAGGGCUGUGUGAGCAGGAAGCUGGGGAGGUGCUGUGGUGGGAGGUGGGUGUCGAGCCCCUGUCCACCAUAACCCUGUGCAUAACUUGCCACAUCCUCACCCCACGGCUUGGCCAUGGACAGGGUGGGACAGCAGAUGGUAUCAGGCCCAGCACCGGCCGUGGUUACAAUGGUGGGUGUGAGGUCCCCAGAAUGCACUGGUGGUGGUGGGUGAUGUGGGCAGAGGCAGGAGCAGUGCUCCCAGGCGGCUGCAAGCUGGGCAUGACCACCUCGGUGAUGGCUUCACCUCUGCUUCUAGAAGGGACACCAGCCACCUUUUACAGUCUCUACUGCCUCCCAAAUGCAACAGUAAGGUAUGCCAUGAGGAAUGGUAACCAUGGCUGGAAGAGCUCCUGAGAGGUCCUUUUCCAGUCUUCUGGAACUUCAUUCACCCUCAUCAUACCUCAAAUAUAAUUGCUCAUGGCUGUGAAAUUACUUCACUCGGUUCCCUGAGCACUCUGGGGUGAAUUUUAUGAGGCCUACCUGAUUUGAAGAUAUGUAAUGUAUCCGUGUACGCUCUUUUUCUGCUCUUUACGCAGCCUAAGUUCUUUAUAAGUUUUAAGGUCUGUGGGUUGUCUCAGUUGGUUUAGAUUUUUUUUUCAGUGAGUUAAAGAAAAAAUAGUAGGCUGAAGCACUUCAGCCUUCUCAGUGUCAUUUUCAGUUGUGCUUCUCUGUCCCUCCCACAAAGCAAAAAACACAUUCUUUGUCUUUUUUUUCUUUCUAGUAUGAAUAUAGAGUAGUUCCUCAGGACCUUUUUUCUUUUCUAGCAGGAUCUCAUUUGCUUUCCUUG